AGGAUGGACAUGCGUCGCAUUAGGUAGACGGCGGGGUAACGGCCCACCGUGCCGACGAUGCGUAGGGGUUCUGAGAGGAAGGCCCCCCACACUGGUACUGAGACACGGACCAGACUCCUACGGGAGGCAGCAGUGAGGAAUAUUGGUCAAUGGCCGAGAGGCUGAACCAGCCAAGUCGCGUGAGGGAAGAAUGUCCUAAGGAUUGUAAACCUCUUUUGUCGGGGAGCAAAAAGGCUCUGCGGAGUCGUAUUGAGAGUACCCGAAGAAAAAGCAUCGGCUAACUCCGUGCCAGCAGCCGCGGUAAUACGGAGGAUGCGAGCGUUAUCCGGAUUUAUUGGGUUUAAAGGGUGCGCAGGCGGCGUGUCAAGCAAGCGGUAAAAUAGCGGGGCUCAACCCCGUCGAGCCGUUUGAACUGGCGCGCUUGAGUUCAGGCGAGGUAGGCGGAAUUCGUGGUGUAGCGGUGAAAUGCAUAGAUAUCACGAAGAACUCCGAUUGCGAAGGCAGCUUACCAGUCUGCGACUGACGCUCAGGCACGAAAGUGUGGGUAUCGAACAGGAUUAGAUACCCUGGUAGUCCACACAGUAAACGAUGAGCGCUAGGUGUCCGGGU
rnacentral:rRNA from 1 species